UGGGGAAUAUUGGACAAUGGGCGAAAGCCUGAUCCAGCCAUGCCGCGUGUGUGAAGAAGGUCUUCGGAUUGUAAAGCACUUUAAGUUGGGAGGAAGGGCAGUUACCUAAUACGUAUCUGUUUUGACGUUACCGACAGAAUAAGCACCGGCUAACUCUGUGCCAGCAGCCGCGGUAAUACAGAGGGUGCAAGCGUUAAUCGGAAUUACUGGGCGUAAAGCGCGCGUAGGUGGUUUGUUAAGUUGGAUGUGAAAUCCCCGGGCUCAACCUGGGAACUGCAUUCAAAACUGACAAGCUAGAGUAUGGUAGAGGGUGGUGGAAUUUCCUGUGUAGCGGUGAAAUGCGUAGAUAUAGGAAGGAACACCAGUGGCGAAGGCGACCACCUGGACUGAUACUGACACUGAGGUGCGAAAGCGUGGGGAGCAAACAGGAUUAGAUACCCUCGUAGUGCCUGAGCGGGC
rnacentral:rRNA from 1 species